GACGAACGCUGGCGGCGUGCUUAACACAUGCAAGUCGAACGGAAAGGCCCUGCUCUUGUGGGGUGCUCGAGUGGCGAACGGGUGAGUAACACGUGAGUAACCUGCCCUUGACUUUGGGAUAACUUCAGGAAACUGGGGCUAAUACCGCAUAGGAGCUCCUGCUGCAUGGUGGGCGUUGGAAAGUUUCGGCGGUUGGGGAUGGACUCGCGGCUUAUGAGCUUGUUGGUGGGGUAGUGGCUUACCAAGGCUUUGACGGGUAGCCGGCCUGAGAGGGGGACCGGCCACAUUGGGACUGAGAUAGGGACCAGACUCCAACGGGAGGCAGCAGUGGGGAAUAUGGCACAAUGGGCGGAAGCCUGAUGCAGCAACGCCGCGUGCGGGAUGACGGCCUUCGGGUUGUAAACCGCUUUCGCCUGUGACGAAGCGUGAGUGACGGUAAUGGGUAAAGAAGCACCGGCUAACUACGUG
rnacentral:rRNA from 1 species